rnacentral:rRNA from 1 species
AGGUCAGUUUUGCCUACAAUAGCGGUCCUCACCGGCUGCUAGUCACUUUCAGUGGCGACACGCUCAAUUUGCGGAAAGGCCCUCUCGAGGGAAAUCCGCAACCAAGCUCCUUACCCGGAGUUCGGUUCAGAGACUCAAUGAGCGUGGGUCUGGCUUCGCGCCCGAUUUGAGAUAGAGCCCACCCCUGCUGGCAACUUCAGGGAAUCAGUGGAACCUGCGGAAGGAUCAU